UACGUAGGGGGCUAGCGUUGUCCGGAAUCAUUGGGCGUAAAGAGCGUGUAGGCGGCUCGGUAAGUCCGCUGUGAAAGUCGAGGGCUCAACCCUCGAAUGCCGGUGGAUACUGUCGGGCUAGAGUGCGGAAGAGGCGAGUGGAAUUCCUGGUGUAGCGGUGAAAUGCGCAGAUAUCAGGAGGAACACCAAUGGCGAAGGCAGCUCGCUGGGACGUAACUGACGCUGAGACGCGAAAGCGUGGGGAGCAAACAGG
rnacentral:rRNA from 1 species